CUUGAAAAUUAGCACUGACAACUUCUACACCUUCUUCAUGAAGAAUGCUAAUAAUCUCAUAAAAUAAGAACUGAUUACCUAGCCCACUUGUCAAAACUAUCUCUAGAGCCGAACCAAUUUCAUGGAUUUUUAGCUGAGGUGAUUUUGAUGCAGCACUUGAUAUAGGAUCAAAAGUGCAUGUAUAUGAUCUUUUUCUGCUUCUUGCUAAGCUUUCUUUCUUUUCCCUGGCUCUCUCCAACUUUUCCUCCAGACUCUUUAUAUAGUUUAUUGCUCGAUCUAUCUGAUCAGGCAGAGGUUGUGCUUCCUGCAUAUAUACCCACAGCAAAAGGAAAAAUAUUUUCAAUAAUUUUGCCAAUUCAAGAAACAAAAGAGAACAAGAAAUAUCAUCCAAACGCAACUUGUAAAUCCCAAAUCUUUCUAAUCCAAACGCAAUAAUCUGUCUGCAAUAACAUGAGAGCAAGGACAGCUUGGCCUCUUCAUGGGAGGUUAAAGGCAGCAUGCUAGAAUGAAAUAAUACAAGAAGACAUGAAUUUAGAGAGAGUGAAAGAUGGAGAACCUUGAAGUUUUGAUUAGGGAGGAGAGAAUUGAGACUGGAGUAAAGGCUUUUCAUUUGAUUUCUCCUAUUUCUCUCAACGACUUUCCUCUCUGUUUUUGUAGAAGAAAUAUUAGACCUACUACUCCUACUCUUCAUUACUGUCCCUCCAGUUUUUGCAACCAUGACUCCCCUCGGAAACCUCAGAACAGAAGGGUGAAGAUGGCAGAUCCAUUUACUUGACAUAUCUUUAUAGACACCAUCUAAACAAUAUUCUAUGAAAAUUCAUUUUUAAAAAAAUUAAUUUUUUUUAAAUUGUUUUAUAUAUAUAUAUAUAUAUAUAUAUAUAUAUAUAUUAUUUUGACAUACUAGUAUUAAAAAUAAUUUUUUUAAAAUAAAAAAAUAUUAUAUAAAUUUAUUUUUUUAAUAAAAAUACUUUAAAAAAUAAUGAAUAUUUCAUCCCAGCUUCCAUGAAAAGAAACGAAAAGUUCAAGAUAAAAAAAAGAAAAAGAAAAAGUAAGAAAGCAAGUGGACCGAGGGCAUGAACGCAAUCGUCACGCAUUGGACAUCACUUUGUGUUGUCAUCCUCUUGUCAUCCUCUCUCUAUUAUAAGCUGCCAAUUCGGAAUCUUAGAGUAGAUUUUUACCUGUCUCCUUUUCAUUUUAAUGGAAGGAGUUUUGAUUGAUUUGAUGAUGUGAGAGAAAAAUCAUUUAGAAUCUAGAGCUGACUCAUACCUUGGGUAUCUUUAUUUUUUCAAUCAUAAAAAUAAAUAUUGAGAAAAUGUAAGAGUUUCUUUUUUAAAAAAAAUUGAAAAUUAAAUUAUUUACUUGACUCGAUUUAAUAAAUUUAGUUAAUUUAAAUAAAAUAAAUAAAUUGAUUAAAAAAAUAAAACCAAUUAACCCUUAUCAUCUGUAAACAAAUUCAAGGUCACUUAAUAAAUUAUAUAUUUACAGUCAAGUUAAUUUUUUCUUAUUAAAUUUUUGCUAUUAUGGUUUAUUCAAUUUCUCUUUUUAAAUUUUGCCAUGAUGGUCCUUUAAUUUCUCACAUAAUAAAUUUCAUCACUAUAAACAAAUUUAAUGUCACAUAAUAAAUUAUGUUGUUAUAGUCAAAUUCAAAUUUCACCCCAAAGAUAUAACAAUAACAUGCGUGGGCGCGUGUACAUAAAUAGCUCAAAUAAAUAGUUAUCAGUUCACUAAUUUUUACCUCUCAGCUAAAAUACCCAAUUCCAUCCUCUUUGGGUUUCGUUUCCAUUUGUUCAUAAAUUUUUAUUAUUAAUUUGUCAAAAUUUAUUAUGCGAGAAAUUAAGGGACCAUCAUGGAAAAGUUUUUUUUAAAAAAAUAAAUAGACUGUAAUAGAAGAAAUUUAAUAAGGAAAUAAUUGAAUUAAUCGUAACAACAAAAAAUUUUAUGUGACCAAGAAUUUGUUUGCAACGACAACAUUUAUUUUGUGAGAAAUUAAGGGGCUACCAUGGAAAAGUUUAAAAAUGAAAAUUGAACAGACCACGACACCAGAAAUUUAAUAAGAAAAAAUUGAACUGACUGUAACAAUAAAAUUUAUUACCUGACCUAAUUUAAUUUAAUAAGGAAAAAUUGAGUUGUCCACAAUGACGAAACUAAAAAGAAAAAUAAAAAAUAAAAUUCGUUGCAAUGGCGGAUUUAAUAUACUAAAUGUUAAUCUAGCCACAACAACUAGAGAUAUUAUAUUUUGAAGUAUGAGUUAUGUAUAAUUCAAAAGAAUUGGAAAUUAUGGAUAAUUUAAUUAAGCAAUAUUGGGAAGAAUUAAUGCUUGGGAUUGAUAAUUUCUAUUUGUAAGCUGUAAAUGAGGCCAUGAGAGUCAAAAUAAAUCAAUAAAAGUUUAGUGGGUAAAAAAUGACGCAAAAACAGAUGAAAAACACUAAUGAUUAAUAAAAUAACUUGUUUUGUUUUAGGAACUAUGAAGGGAGUGGUGCAAUAACAGAUGAAAAACACUAAUGAUAAAAUGGAAGUGAUAAAAGAAAGAGUCAAUGAAACUCAACACACACAUUGAAAUUACAGGGACAAAAUAUUUGUAAGGAGGAGAGAAUGUAAACCUCCAAGUAAACAUAGGAUAUAAGGUAAUAAAAUCUUGACGAGUAAUGAAAAUUUGAGUUGAAAAGAAAUAAACAAAUGAUGGAAAUAAUAAUAAAUAGAAUGUAUAAUAGAGGGGACGACCUCCAUAAAUAAUUUUAAAAAGGUAUUAUUGAAGUUAGAAUGAGGAUUAGGAAUUUUAGUUAAAAACUCAUAAUAUUGGUGAAACCAUUAAUGAAUUUUGAUGGAUAAAAGAAUAAGAAAAACUUAAAAUAAAUAUGUUUUAAAAAUGACAAAAUAACUUCAGAUAAUGGAAAUGAGGAAUUCAAGUUAGGAAAAAAUUAUAUGAAAAAGUGUCGGUGUAAAUCCCGGGUAAAAAAUCGAUAACAUUACUAGUGUGAAAUGAUAAUAAAUCUGUUAAAUGAAAUAAAUGAUGAAAAGGAAAAAAAAUAUUUUAUAAUAUGAAAAUGGUCCCAUGAAUUUAGUGGAAAAAUUGAUAUGAUUUGUGUGCAAGGAUUGAACAAAAAAGAUUGAAUUUUGGCAUAAAAUCACCAACUGACUAGUUUUAUGAUAACGAGUAUAACUCUCAAUCCAAUCAUUAGACCAAACUUAUAUUUUGCACGUAGUCUUCUAAUACAUGGUUCUACCUUGGGUUAAAAUUUCAAGGCAAUCGAAGUUCAGGAAGGCGCCCUCAUAAAAGUAUUGUUGGCUCCAUAAAAUUAUACAUAGAAUUUUUUGGUAAAAUGACUAAUAAAUAUCUUUUUUUUCUCCUUUAUAAAGUUCAGUCCAAGGAAGGAUAUAGGGGGUGAGUUUAGAAAGAAAACACAUUAAGGGCAAGAACUUCGAUAACCAUAUCUCUAUCAUUUAUUGUUGGAUUAAGCUAAUUUUUGGGUAUGUUGUUCUUCUCAAUGUACUCUACAUUUUGAUAGGAGGGAGUGUUGGCAUCAGAUUCCAUAUGAGAGAUAUUGCCGGUGGAAAUUUUUUAGAAAAACACCCUUUUAAGAUAGUCUUAGUCACCGAUCGUUUACUCCUACAUCCAUCACUGGAUUGAGCUAAAUUUUGGAUAAGUUGUUCAUUCAGACAUGCUCUAAAUUCUGAAUAGUGAAGUUCUAAAACAAACAAUCCAGCCAGAAAUUGAUCUUUCUAAAUAGUAGGUUUCUAAUUUUCAGGUCAAUUUAGUUUGUUUUCUGAUCUAGAGAGAUUUAGCUAUUGGAUUUAUUUGAAUUUUUGAUAUGUUAUAUUAAACAUGAUGAUGCAUAACUUCAUCGUUGGAAUGCUCAAGUAUUGAGUUUGCAAUAAGUUAUGAUGGUUUGAAUGUAUUGCUCAUAAACUCAUUAUGCACCGUUCCAACAACAUAAAUUAUUAUUCCAACUCGGUAUUAUAGUAACUUGAGAACUAUUACUCUAGAAGUGAAUUUUAUGGUUCAUUCAAAAAAUUAUGGUUUAGGGUUGUAAAGGUGUUAAAUAAAUGAAUUUAGUUAAAUUGUGAAAAAGAAUAAAAGGAAAAUUGUGCUUUCUUUAACACUUUUUUAACAAUUAAAUUGUAAUACAAUUUAACUAAAUUCAAAGAAUGCAUGGAUUUCCUUUUAUUUUUUUACAAUUUAACUAAAUUCAUUCAUUUGCUAUAGUUCCAUAAAAAUCACAUAUGAAAUAAUAGUUCCUGAGUUGCUACAAUAUAAUGAGUCAAAAUAGUAAUUAAUGAGUUAGAACAAUGCAUAAUGAGUUUAUAAGCAGACAUUCAAACCACCAUUCCUCUCUAAAAACUAAAUAUGCAAUCAAUCACAUUGAUGAAGUUAUACAUUAUUAUGUUUAACAUAACAUAUCCAAAAUUUCAAAUAAAUCUAAUGGUUAAAUCUCUUUAGUUCGGAACAAAAAUUGAACUGACCUAAAAAUUUAAAACCUAUUGUUUAGGAAUAACUAUAUUUUUUUCCAGAGUGUUUGUUUUAUAUCUUCACCGUACAGAAUUUAAAGCAUGCCUGGAUGAAUAACUUAUCCAAAAUCUAGAACUAUCCAAUGGUGUAUGGAGGAGAAAACAACCGACAACUGAGACAGGCUCAAAUGGUUUUUUCUAGAUAUUUCCAGCUAGUAAUAUCUCUUAAAUGAAGUGUGAUAUUUAAAAUCCAUCCGAUCAGAAUUCAUACGACAUUGAUAAGAACAACAUACAUGAAAAAACAGCCUAAUCUAAUGGUGAAAAGUGGGACAUAGCUACUAUAAUUCCUACUCUUAAUGUGUUUUCUCCCUAGCUUCUCUCUAAACUAUCUCCCUCUAUCAUGCCUUGUCCUGAAGCUUACGAAGGAGAAAAAGAUGAAAUUUUUUGGUCACUUUAAAAAAAAAACCCUAAUUGAAUUCAUGCAUAUUUAUGUUUGACCAAUAGUCGCGAGGCCUUUCUAAACUUUGGUUGCCUUAUAAUUUUAACCCAAGGUAGAACCAUAUAUUAGAAGACUCCAUGUAAAACUCCAGCCCGAUUCAAUGAUUGGAUUGAGAGUUAUACUCAAUACUGUAAAACUAGACAGUAGGUGAUUUUACACCAAAAUCUAAGUUUUCUUGUUAAAUCCUUACACGAAUGAUAUUGAUUAUUCCAUUAAAUCCUUGAGAUCAUUUUCUUAUUUCAAAAUAUUUUUUUUAUUUUCAUUAUUUAUUUCAUUUACAGACUUAUUAUCGUUUCACAAUAACAUUAUCAGUAUUUUACCUAGAGUUUACACCAAUACUUUUUCGUGCAUUUCUUUCUUAACUUUUAUUUCUCAUUUCCAUUAUCAUUCCUUGAAAUUAUAUUCUCAUUCUUAAAUCUUAUUUAUUUGAAAUUUUCCUUAUUCUUCUAUUUGUCGAAACUUAUUACCAAUUUCUCAAAUGUUAUGAAUUUUCAACUAAUUUUCCUGAACCUCAUUCUAACUUCAAUAAUGCAUUUUUAAAAUUAUUUAUGGAGGUCAUCCCCUUCAUUGUACAUCUUAUUUAUUACUAUUUCCAUCAUUUAUGUAUUUAUUUUCAUCCUAAAUUUCUAUUACUCAUAAGAGUUUUAUUAUCUUUGAUCUUAUAUUUACAAGGGGGAUUAUAAAGUUUUCCUCUUGGAAUGGAAAAAUAAUAAUUACACUAUUCUCAUCCACACUACCCCAAUCAAUUUCUUUUUUUGUAAUCUUAUUUUUUUAUUAUAAUAUUAUCCAAUUUUAUCUAAUACAAAAACUUGUACAAGUGCAAAUUAUAAUAUAAUAAUUUCAUGUUUGUCUGUUUAAAAACUCAUAGUUAUUAAAUCUGUCUCGGUGUCAAGCUUGGAUCACAAGUUAGGCGGAUUAAUUUAGGUUAAUGAUCUUUUCUUUUAAAUAUAAAAAUAAAAAAAAAACAAUCUUAUUUUGAUCAGAUCGACUUGGUUAAUGAUUAUAUAUAUAUAUAUAUAUAUAUUACAUUGACCUCUCUUGUAGUAUAUAUAUAUAUAUAUAUAUUACAUUGACCUCUCUUGUAGUUUAGUCAUUUUUGUUUUACUUGGUAUCCAUUUGUUUUAAUUACAAUCCACAUCUUCAACAACCAUAAUUUUUAAAUUUGAAUAAAAAAAUAUUAUAUCCUCAUAUAUAACUUUUAAAUUCUUAAAUUUUCUUAUCCAAUCAAUAUAUGACUUGUCUCCUUGUUUCAAGCUUGGUUUCAUAGCUUCCAAUCCUGCUAUGGCACAAGAUUUUUAUUCAUUUUUUUAAAUAAUAUCAACAAAAUUCCUGAUAAUUUUUUUAUUAAUUUUUAUUUUUAUUUUAUCAAAUAUAAUAUUGUGUGCUAUUUUCAUUGAAAAUUACUAAUGAAGACUUUCCAUAAUUAUUUCUAUAAAAAAUUAUGUUGGUAUUUUUAUUGUUAUUAGCUAAUUUUCUGGUAAUAAAUUAGAACAAAAACAAACAUGUUCUUCAUAUGAAUCUCAUCUUUCUACCCUUAUUGAGUCUCGUCUUUUUUUUUUUAAAAAAAAAAACUUCAAGACAUAUUUAACAAAAAUCAACCUACCUAGGCCAAUUCCCAUUGCUAAUUAACUAUACACUGCUAUCAAAGUAGAGUAUUAGUUGAAACAAAAUUAUACUCUAGAUUAUGCAUAUAUGAAGACUUGAGUUCUAUGGUUGCAAUUAAAAUCAGUUUUCCAAGAUCUUGAAAUUUUUUUCGUGAAGAAACGAAUGCAAGAAACACAUUUUUGAUACAUAAAAUGAUUAUCUGAAAGUUCAUGGUUCUAAAACACACAAUGCUUAUGAUCAGAUGACAAACAGCCAAAACAUGUUACAUGCACACAGAUUUCUUCCUUACAAGUCCUCCUAUAGAAUUGAGGAAGAUACAAUCCACCAAUAUAUAUUGAUGCCAUAAGUGUUCCCCAUAUUGAUUACUUUCUCUAGCAUGAUUUCACCAAGUAAUUCUAGAGAUCAUACCAGUUUCAUCAGAAUGAAAUAUGUUGCUCUAAAGAAAUUCAAAAGAAAGUGUAAAGUGGUAUCAAACUUGAAUGGAAAACCAACAAGGAACAAGCCUUCAUCAGAAUGAAAUAUUACCAUACAUGUGUAAACCUCUUUCUAAUUAACAUCUAUAUAUCUUACAGAUUUCAAGAAAUUGAACUCAGAUUCCAAACUGUAGUGCCAAGCGUCUUACUAUCAUUUUAUGCUAAGUUCGGUGCUUUAGUACUGUUUAGAAUUCCCAAUUAGUCUCAGGAUGAUUUGCAAAAUCCCAUAGCUCUGAAUCCAACUCUAUUUCACUUGUGGAUCCACUAAUAAACCUGUUCAGCCUCUCAGUUACUCUUGCAGCUCCAAAACCAUCAGCAGAUCCCUUCAUCUGCGCAAAAUAAAUUCAAAUUGAUCAUCCAAUUGUCAAGAAAACACGUUGAGGAUUAGAAAUGAAUCAGCAUAAUGGAUCAAAUAUAAUUAUUACCUGUGCAUGGACUAUAUGGAAAAAGGAAUCUCCAAGAGCUUGAAAAUUAGCACUGACAACUUCUACACCUUCUUCAUGAAGAAUGCUAAUAAUCUCAUAAAAUAAGAACUGAUUACCUAGCCCACUUGUCAAAACUAUCUCUCGAACUGAACCAAUUUCAUGGAUUUUUAGCUGAGGUGAUUUUGAUGCAGCACUUGAUAGAGGAUCAAAAGUGCAUGUAUAUGAUCCUUUUCUGCUUCUUGUUAAGCUUUCUUUCUUCUCCCUGGCUUUCUCCAACUUUUCCUCCAGACUCUUUAUAUAGUUUAUUGCUCGAUCUAUCUGAUCAGGCAGAGGUUGUGCUUCCUGCAUAUAUACCCACAGCAAGGGAAAAAUAUUUUCAAUAAUUUUGCCAAUUCAAGAAACAAAAAAGAACAAGAAAUAUCAUCCAAACGCAACUUGUAAAUCCCAAAUCUUUCUAAUCCAAACGCAAUAAUCUGUCUGCAAUAACAUGAGAGCAAGGACAGCUUGGCCUCUUCAUGGGAGGUUAAAGACAGCAAGCUAGAAUGAAACAAUACAAGAAGACAUGAAUUUAGAGAGAGUAAAAGAUGGAGAACCUUGAAGUUUUGAUUAGGGAGGAGAGAAUUGAGACUGGAGUAAAGGCUUUUCAUUUGAUUUCUCCUAUUUCUCUCAACGACUUUCCUCUCUGUUUUUGUAGAAGAAAUAUUAGACCUACCACUCCUACUCUGCAUUAUUGUCCCUCCAGUUUUUGCAACCAUGACUCCCCUCGGAAACCUCAUAACAGAAGGGUGAAGAUGCCAGAUUCAUUAACUUGACAAAUAUUUAUAGACACCAUCUAAACAAUAUUCUAUGAAAAUUCAUUUUUAAAAAAAAUUAAUUUUUUUAAAUUUUAUAUAUAUAUAUAUAUAUAUAUAUAUAUAUUAUUUUGACACACUAGUAUUAAAAUUAAUUUUUUUAAAAUUAUAAAAAUAUUAUUUAAAUUUAUUUUUUAAUAAAAACACUUUAAAAAAUAAUAAAUAUUUCAUCAGCUUCCAUGAAAAGAAACGAAAAGUUCAAGAUAAAAAGAAAAAAGAAAAAGUAAGAAAGCAGUGGACUGACUGAGGGCAUGAACGCAAUCGUCACGCAUUGGACAUCACUUUGUGAUGUCAUCCUCUCUCUAUUAUAAGCUGCCAAUUCGGAAUCCUAGAGUAGAUUUUUACCUGUCUCCUUUUCUUGUAAUGGAAGGGAGUUUUGAUUGAUUUGAUGAUGUGAGAGAAAAAUCAUUUAGAAUCUAGAGCUGACUCAUACCUUGGAUAUUUUGUUUUUUUCAAUCAUAACAAAAAAAUAUUGACAAAAUGUAAGAGAUUUAAAAAAAAAAUUAAAAAUUAAAAUUAUUUACUUGACUCAAUUUAAUAAAUCUAGCUAAUUUAAAUAAUAUAAAUAAAACAAAUAAAUUGAUAAUAAAUAAAUUGAUAAAAAAAAUAGACAAUAUUAAGAAAACUUUGAUGCAAGCAUGAUUAAUCUUGCUUUUAAGGUCAAUAUAAACUUUAUACUGUACUUUAAAUAUAUAUAAAAAAACUGAAUAACCCUUAUCAUAUGUUAUCGUAAACAAAUUCAAAGUCAUUUAAUAAAUUAUAUAUUUAUGAUCACGUCUUUUUUUAUUAUUAUUAAAUUUCUGCUAUUGUGGUAUAUUUAAUUUCUUUUUUUAAACUUUUCCAUGAUGAUCCCUUAAUUCUUUACAUAAUAAAUUCUGUCAUUGCAGAUAAAUUCAAGGUCAUGUAAAAAAUCUUGCUGUUACAAUCAAUUCAAUUUUUCCAUGUAUAGAUAAGUAUAGAAAUUGAUUUAACAUCUUGUCUUUUGAAAGGUAAAAAAAGAAUAAAGGAGUAAUUAAUCCAUGUAAAAAAAACGAAUUGAGAAUGUAAGUGAUAAGAGAAAGAGUUAAUGCAACUCAACACACACAUUGAGAUUACAGGGACAAAAUAUUUGUAAGGAGGAGAUAAUGUAAACCUCCAUGUAAACAUAUGAUAUAAGGUACUAAAAUCUUAAUGAGUAAUGAAAAUUUGAGUUGAAAAGAAUAAAUAAAUGAUGAAAAUAAUAAUAAAUAGGAUGUAUAAUAGAGGGGACGACUUCCAUAAAUAAUUUUAAAAAGAUAUUAUUGAAGUUAGAAUAAGAAUUAGGAAUUUUAGUUAAAAAUUCAUAAUGUUGGUGAAACCAUUAAUGAGUUUUGAUGGAUAAAAAAAUAAGAAAAAUUUAAAAUAAAUGUGUUUUAAGAAUGACAAAAUAAUUUCAAGGAAUGAUAAUGGAAAUGAGGAAUUCAAGUUUAGAAAAAAUUACAUGAAAAAGUGUCGGUGUAAAUCUCAGGUAAAAAAUCGAUAACAUUAAUAUGAAAUAAUAAUAAAUCUGUUAAAUGAAAUAAAUGAUGAAAAGGAAAAAAUAUAUAUUCUACAAUAAGAAAAUGGUCCCAUGAAUUUAGUGGAAUAAUUAAUAUGAUUCGUGCAAGGAUUGAACAAGAAAAUUUGAAUUUUAGCAUAAAAUCACCAACUAACUAGUUUUAUAAUAACGAGUAUAACUCCUAAUUCAAUCAUUAGACCAGACUUAUAUUUUGCACGUAGUCUUCUAAUACAUGGUUCUACCUUGGGUUAACAUUUCAAGACAAUUGAAAUUCAGGAAAGCCUCGCAAAAGUAUUGUUGGUUCAAUAAAAUUACAUAAAAUUAUACAUAGAUUUUUUUGGUAAAAUGACUAGAAAAUAUCUUUUUUUUCUCCUUUAUAAAGUUCAGUCCAAGGAAGGAUAUAGGGGGUGAGUUUAGAGAGAAAACACAUUGGAGGCAAGAACUUCGAUAACCAUAUCUCUAUCGUUUAUUGUUGGAUUAAGCUAAUUUGUGGGUAUUUUGUUAUUCUCAAUGUAUUCUACAUUUUGAUAGGAGGGAGUGUCAACAUCAGAUUCCAUAUGAGAGAUAUUGCUGGUGGAAAAUUUCUAGAAAAACACUCUUUUAAGAUAGUCUUAGUCAUCGACCGUUUACUCCUACGUCCAUCACUAGAUUGAGCUGAAUUUUGGAUAAGUUGUUUGUUCAGACAUGCUCUAAAUUCUGAAUAAUGAAGUUCUAAAACAAACAAUCCAACUAGAAAUUGAUCUUUCUAAAUAGUAGGUUUCUAAUUUUCAGGUCAGUUUAGUUUGUUUUUUUGAUAUAGAGAGAUUUAGCCAUUGGAUUUAUUUGAAUUUUUGAUAUGUUGUGUUAAACAUGAUGAUGCAUAACUUCAUCAUUGGAAUGCUCAAAUAUUGAGUUUGCAAUAAGUUAUGAUGGUUUGAAUGUAUUGUUCUUAAACUCAUUAUGAACCGUUCCAACAACAUAAAUUAUUAUUCCAACUCAGUAUUAUAGCAACUUGGGAACUGUUACUCUAGAAGUGAAUUUUAUGGUUCAUCUGAAAAAUUCUGGUUUAGGGUGGUAAAGGUGUUAAAUAAAUGGAUUUAGUUAAAUUGUGAAAAAGAAUAAAAGGAAAAUUGUGCUUUCUUUAACACUUUUUUUAACAAUUAAAUUGUAAAUGUGUUAAUGAAGGUGUUAAAAGAACACAUGGAUUUCCUUUCCUUUUUUUUACAAUUUAACUAAAUUCAUUCAUUUAACAUCUUCAUUAACACAUUUACCACCUUAAACCAAAAUUUUCUGGAUGAACCAUAAAAAUCACUUAUGAAAUAAUAGUUCCUGAGUUGCUACAAUACUAAGUCAAAAUAGUAAUUAAUGAGUUAGAACAAUGCAUAAUGAGUUUGUAAGCAGACAUUCAAACCACCAUUCCUCUCUAAAAACUAAAUAUGCAAUUAAUCACAUUAGUGAAGUUAUACAUUAUCAUGUUUAACAUAACAUAUCCAAAAUUUCAAAUAAAUCCAAUGGUUAAAUCUCUUUAGAUCAGAACAAAAAUUGAACUAACCUAAAAAUUUAAAACCUAUUGUUUAGGAAGAACUAUUUUUUUUCCAGAGUGUUUGUUUCAUAUCUUCACCGUACAGAAUUUAGAGCAUGCCUGAAAGAAUAACUUAUCCAAAAUCCAGAACCAUCCAAUGGUGUAUAAAGGAGAAAACAACCGACAAUUGAGACUAUCCCAAAUGGUUUUUUCUAGAUAUUUCCAGUCAGUAAUAUCUCUUAAAUGAAGUGUGAUGUUUAAAAUCCUCCCGAUCAGAAUUCAUAUGACAUUGAUAAGAACAACAUACAUAAAAAGCAUCCUAAUUCAAUGGUGAAAAGCAGGAUAUAGCUACUAUAAUUCCUACUCUCAAUGUGUUUUCUCCCUAGCUUCUCUCUAAACUAUCUCCCUUUAUCAUGCCGCCUUGUCCUGAAGCUUAUGAAGGAGAAAAAGAAGAAAUUUUUUGUUCACUUUACCAAAAAAACCUUUAUUGAAUUCAUGUAUAAUUUUCUAUAUUUAUGUUUGACCAAUAGUCGCGAGGCCUUCCUAAACUCUGGUUGCCUUAUAAUUUUAACCCAAGGUAGAAUCAUACAUUAGAAGACUCCAUAUAAAACUCCAGCCCGAUUCAAUGAUUGGAUUGAGAGUUAUGCUCAAUACUGUAAAACUAGGCAGUAUGUGAUUUUACACCAAAAUCUAAGUUUUCUUGUUAAAUCCUUACACGAAUGAUAUCGGUUAUUCCAUUAAAUUCUUGAGACCAUUUUCUUAUUCCAAAAUUUUUUUUAUCAUUUAUUUCAUUUACGGACUUAUUAUCGUUUCACAAUAAUAUUAUCGAUUGUUUUACCUAGAGUUUACAUCAAUACGUUUUCGUGCAUUUCUUUCGUAACUUUUAUUUCUCAUUUUCAUUAUUAUUCCUUGAAAUUAUAUUCUCAUUCUUAAAACAUAUUUAUUUGAAAUUUUUCUUAUUCUUCUUGAAACUUAUUACCGAUUUCUCAAAUGUUAUGAAUUUUCAACUAAUUUUCAUGAUCCUCAUUCUAACUUCAAUAAUACAUUUUUAAAAUUAUUUAUGGAGGUCAUCCCCUCCAUUGUACAUCUCAUUUAUUACUAUUUCUAUUAUUUAUAUAUUUAUUUUCAUCCUAAAUUUCUAUUACUUAUCAUAGUUUUAUUAUCUUUAAUCUUAUGUUUACAUAGGAGUUUACAAAGUUUUCUUCUUGGAAUGGAAAAAUGAUAAUUACACUAUUCUCAUCCACACUACCCCAAUUAGUUUUUUUAUUGUACUCGUGUUUCUUUAUUAUAAUAUUAUCAAAUUUUAUCUAAUACUAAAAAAUUGGAAAAGUGCAAAUUAUAUUAUAAAAAUUUCAUGUUUGUCUAUCUAAAAAAUUAUAGUUAUUAAAUUAGACUCGGUGUCAAGUUUGGAUCACAAGUUGGGUGGAUUAAUUUAGGUUAAUGAUUUUUUCUUUUAAAUGUAAAAAUAAUUUUGUUUUGAAAAAUAAUAAUUAAAAAAUCAACUUUGUUUUGACCAGAUCCAUCUAGUUGAUGGUUGAUAUAUAUAUUGCAUUGACCUCUCCUGUAGUUUAUUCAUUGUUUUUACUUGGUAUCCAUUUUUUUUAAUUACAAUCCACAUCUUCAACCAACAUAAUUUUUAAAAUUGAAUAAAAAAAAUAUUAUAUCCUCAUAUACAAGUUCUUAAAUUCCUCAUUUUUCUUAUCCAAUCAAUAUAUGACUUGUCUCCUUAUUUCAAGCUUGGUUUCAUAGCUUCCCAUCAAGCUUGGUUUCAUAGCUUCCAAUCCUGCCAUAAUUGAGGGCACAAGAUUUUUAUUAAUUUUUUAAAUAAUAUCAACAAAAUUCCCCAUAGAAUUUUUAUUAAUUUUUAUUUUUUAUUUUUAUUUUAUCAGAAAUUGCAGAUAAAAAAUAUCAUGUCGCUAUUUUCAUUAAAAUUAAUGAUGAAGACUUUCCAUAGUUAUAUCUAUAAAAAAAUAUGUUGGUAUUUUUGUUGUUAUUACCUAAUUUUCUGGUAAUAAAUUAGAACAAAAACAAACAUGUUCUUCAUGAAUUUCAUCUUUCUACCCUUAUUGAGUCUCAUCUUUUUUCUAAAAAAAUAUACUUCAAGAUAUAUUUAACAAAAAUCAACCUACCUAGGCCGAUUCCCAUUACUAAUUAACUAUAUACUGCUAUCAAAGUAGAGUAUUAGUUGAAACAAAAUUAUACUCUAGAUUAUGCAUAUAUGAAGACUUGAGUUCUAUGGUUGCAAUUAAAAUCAGUUUUCCAAGAACUUGAAAUUUUUUUCGUGAGGAAACGAAUGCAAGAAACACUUUUUUGAUACAUAAAAUGACUAUCUGAAAGUUCAUGGUUCUAAAACACACAAUGCUCAUGAUCAGAUGACAAACAGCCAAAACAUGUUACAUGCACACAGAUUUCUUCUCUUACAAGUCCUCCUAUAGAAUUGAGGAAGAUACAAUCCACCAAUAUAUGUUGAUGCCAUUUAAGUGUUUCCCAUAUUGCACUCAAACAUUACUUUCUCUAGCAUGAUUUCACCAAGUAAUUCUAGAGAUCAUAUCAGUUUCAUCAGAAUGAAAUAUGUUGCUCUAAAGAAAUUCAAAAGAAAGUGUAAAGAGGUAUCAAACUUGAAUGGAAAACCAACAAGGAACAAGCCUUCGUUGUUAUACAGGAUAUUACCAUACAUGUGUAAACCUCUUUCUAAUUAACAUCUAUAUAUCUUACAGAUUUCAAGAAAUUGAACUCAAAUUCCAAACUGUAGUGCCAAGCGUCUUACUAUCAUUUUAUGCUAAGUUUGGUGCUUUAGUACUGUUUAGAAUUCCCAAUUAGUCUCAGGAUGAUGAACUGCAAAAUCCCAUAGCUCUGAAUCCAACUCUAUUUCACUUGUGGAUCCACUAAUAAACCUGUUCAGCCUCUCAGUUACUCUUGCAGCUCCAAAACCAUCAGCAGAUCCCUUCAUCUGCGCAAAAUAAAUUCAAAUUGAUCAUCCAAUUGUCAAGAAAACACGUUGAGGAUUAGAAAUGAAUCAGCAUAAUGGAUCAAAUAUAAUUAUUACCUGUGCAUGGACUAUAUGGAAAAAGGAAUCUCCAAGAGCUUGAAAAUUAGAACUGACAACUUCUACACCUUCUUCAUGAAGAAUGCUAAUAAUCUCAUAAAAUAAGAACUGAUUAUCUAGCCCACUUGUCAAAACUAUCUCUAGAGCCGAACCAAUUUCAUGGAUUUUUAGCUGAGGUGAUUUUGAUGCAGCACUUGAUAUAGGAUCAAAAGUGCAUGUAUAUGAUCUUUUUCUGCUUCUUGCUAAGCUUUCUUUCUUUUCCCUGGCUUUCUCCAACUUUUCCUCCAGACUCUUUAUAUAGUUUAUUGCUCGAUCUAUCUGAUCAGGCAGAGGUUGUGCUUCCUGCAUAUAUACCCACAGCAAAAGCAAAAAUAUUUUCAAUAAUUUUGCCAAUUCAAGAAACAAAAAAGAACAAGAAAUAUCUUCCAAACGCAACUUGUAAAUCCCAAAUCUUUCUAAUCCAAACGCAAUAAUCUGGCUGCAAUAACAUGAGAGCAAGGACAGCUUGGCAUCUUCAUGGGAGGUUAAAGACAGCAAGCUAGAAUGAAACAAUACAAGAAGACAUGAAUUUAGAGAGAGUGAAAGAUGGAGAAC
rnacentral:lncRNA from 1 species